UAAGGAAUAUUGGACAAUGCCCGCAAGGGUGAUCCAGCCAUGCCGCGUGCAGGAAGACGGCCCUAUGGGUUGUAAACUGCUUUUGUACCGGAGAAAACCUUUCCCUGCGGGGAGAGCUGAUCGUACGGUGAGAAUAAGCAUCGGCUAACUUCGUGCCAGCAGCCGCGGUAAGACGAAGGAUGCAAGCGUUAUCCGGAUUCAUUGGGUUUAAAGGGAGCGUAGGCGGUCUAAUAAGUCAGUGGUGAAAUCUCUCGGCUUAACUGAGAAAUGGCCAUUGAUACUGUUGGACUUGAGUACAGAUGCCGUUGGCGGAAUAUGACAUGUAGUGGUGAAAUACAUAGAGAUGUCAUAGAACACCGAUUGCGAAGGCAGCUGACGAAACUGUAACUGACGCUGAGGC
rnacentral:rRNA from 1 species